AAAUGUUGGUUAAGUCCGCAACGAGCGCAACCCUUAUCCUUUGUUUGCCAGCGAGUAAUGUCGGGGAACUCAAGGGAGGACUGCCGGUGAUAAACCGGAGGAAGGUGGGGAUGACGUCAAGUCAUCAUGGCCCUUACGAGUAGGGCUACACACGUGCUACAAUGGCAUAUACAAAGAGAAGCGAACUCGCGAGAGCAAGCGGACCUCAUAAAGUAUGUCGUAGUCCGGAUUGGAGUCUGCAACUCGACUCCAUGAAGUCGGAAUCGCUAGUAAUCGUAGAUCAGAAUGCUACGGUGAAUACGUUCCCGGGCCUU
rnacentral:rRNA from 1 species